CCGACCUCUGAGGUCUGGGACAUUUUUCCAUUGAUUGGCAACCAGCGGGCUAAACCCACGUAUGAUCAUAUUUCCCCCACCUCCCCUAUCCAGCAGUUUCGUUUUCUUUUGGUAGGGGGUGAAUAAAAUUAAAUACUAGGGUACCUUUUUCCUUAGUCUUAUUCUAUCGAAAGUGGACCUUUGGGAAGGCCCAUGGUCGUGGUUGAAAAUAGCAUAGUUAUAUCGUUUGGCAAGUGGAAGAGGAUUGGAAAUUCUCCUGGUUUAUAGCGGAAAGUGGAGACAAAGCUUUUGUUGAUUUCCUGAGUGAUGAAAUUAAGGAGGAAAGAAAAAUUCAGAAGCAUAAAACCCUCCCUAAGAUGUCUGGAGGUUGGGAGCUGGAACUG
rnacentral:lncRNA from 1 species